UGGGGAAUAUUGCGCAAUGGGGGAAACCCUGACGCAGCAACGCCGCGUGAAGGAAGAAGGCUUUCGGGUUGUAAACUUCUUUAGUCGGGGACGAAAAAAAUGACGGUACCCGAAGAAUAAGCCACGGCUAACUACGUGCCAGCAGCCGCGGUAAUACGUAGGUGGCGAGCGUUGUCCGGAAUUACUGGGUGUAAAGGGCGUGUAGGCGGGUUAUCAAGUCAGAUGUGAAAUUCCAGGGCUCAACCCUGGCGCUGCAUCUGAAACUGAUGAUCUUGAGUACUGGAGAGGGAAGCGGAAUUCCUAGUGUAGCGGUGAAAUGCGUAGAUAUUAGGAGGAACACCAGUGGCGAAGGCGGCUUUCUGGACAGUAACUGACGCUGAGGCGCGAAAGCGUGGGGAGCGAACAGG
rnacentral:rRNA from 2 species